AUUAGCUAGUUGGGNGGGUAAAAAGCCUNCCCAAGGCGACGAUCGGUAGCUGGUUUGAGAGGAUGAUCAGCCCACACUGGGAUUGAGACACGGCCCAAAUCCUACNGGAGGCAGCAGUGGGGAAUUUUUCCGCAAUGGGCGAAAGCCUGACGGAGCAAUACCGCGUGAGGGAAGAAGGCUUUUGGGUUGUAAACCUCUUUUGUCAGGGAAGAAGAAUUGACGGUACCUGAAGAAAAAGCAUCGGCUAACUCCGUGCCAGCAGCCGCGGUAAUACGGAGGAUGCAAGCGUUAUCCGGAAUCAUUGGGCGUAAAGGGUCCGCAGGUGGCGAAUAAAGUCUGCUGUUAAGGACCGGGGCUU
rnacentral:rRNA from 1 species